GUAAUCACAGUGAUGGAGUACUGUAGUGGUAAUCACAGUGAUGGAAUACUGUAGGGGGUAAACACAGUGAUGAGUACUGUGGGGGUAAACACAGUGAUGAGUACUGUAGGGGGUAAACACAGUGAUGAGUACUGUGGGGGUAAACACAGUGAUGAGUACUGUUGGGGGUAAACACAGUGAUGGAGUACUGUAGGGGUAAACACAGUGAUGAGUACUGUUGGGGGUAAACACAGUGAUGGAGUACUGUAGGGGUAAACACAGUGAUGGAGCUCUGUAGGGGUAAAACACAGUGAUGAGUCCUGUAAGGGGUAAACACAGUGAUGAGUACUGUAGGGGUAAACACAGUGAUGGAGCUCUGUAGGGGGUAAACACAGUGAUGAGUACUGUAAGGGGUAAAUACUGUGAAGGAGUUCUAUAGGGGGUAAACACAGUGAUGAGUACUGUAGGGGGUAAACUCAUGAUUGAGUACUGUAGGGGGUAAACACAGUGAUGGAG
ensembl:lncRNA